GACUCGCUCAGGACCCGAAUUCGUUCUUCUAUGUAGAUGGUAUCAUACAAAUCUCAAAUAUUGGCAAGUCAAUAAUUUGAAUAUAAAUGCAUACACUUAAACUUUUUAUAAUAAAGUAUGCAUCUUUACUUCUUGAGUUAGUAAGCCCACCUGAUACGCUUAAUGAAAUAGAAGUCCUUGCUUGUUCACUCUACACUGCCAAUCGAACCUUCAUUAUAAUGAGGUUCCCAAUGUAAGAUUGGAUAGAUAGACAAGAAAUAAACAAAAAUAAUUCCUAGUUGAAACUUCUAUCACUUGAAACUUUAGAGUUGCAUUCUCUAGUUUAGAUCGUCUGUUUUUAUGAAUUUAAUUGGACUAAAAGCAUAUACUAACAUUCCAUCUCUUAGGAUAUCUCACUUGAGAAAGCUUAAGAGUAAACUAAUCCAUUCUAUAUAGAUUAACUUACAAUUAAUAAGUGAAACACCAAUCACUUAGCAUAGUUCUAUUCAUAACUAUCUCAGGUAAGAAAUCUCAAAUAUGCAAUCAUAUAUGAAUCUCAACUUUGAAAAAUCAUAUAAAAUCAACCUCUUCAAAGAAAAAUACAAGCUUUACUUUUUCAUAAAGCUAUUAAAGUCUAUAUUUCUCAGAAAUUUACAAAAUCACAAUAAGAAAUUAUAUCAAGAAAGGCAGAAUCUGCCACUUAACUUUGCUGCUUCGUGCAGUACUUUUCAUAAAAUCGUUUGACACAUCUAACUGUGUUGGAUUUAGCUGAAAUUUUGCAGACAUCUAAUACUCAUAAUGAAGUUAUCACUGUAAAAAUUUCAAGUCAUUUGGACCACAAGAACACUGCCGAAAACCCCUCAUAAGACACUGGUUCGUCAGCCAAACUUGACAGCAAUAUACUUCUGUUUCAACUCAACAUUUAACUCAUACUUUGACCAAUUAAAAGUGUAGAGACUCAAAUACAUGAUCAUAAUACAUACUAGGAUACUUUAACUUCAAACUUAACUCAUGUUUAACACAUCAACAUAGCCAUCUAGUUAUAACAUAACAAUUCCCAUAACAAAUCUCCAUACAUUAGAGCCUUACAAAAGAAUGAGGUAGUAGACUGUUCUAAUUUCCAUAUAUUUGAUAAAAUCACAUCAUAAUAUAUCUACAUCCAUCAAUAAAUAGAAUAUAAACCUUCUUAACUCGAAAGCCCUAAUUUACCCUAAACUAACAAAAUCAAUCUCACAAACUAUGUGGUGUAAACUCAUAAUUUAUUCAUAUAUGACAUAAUUCCAGCUCAAAAACACAUAUAUGAACUCAAUUAUUCAAGAAUAUAAUCAUAACUCUCAAACUCAAACAUAGGGUUCAUACUAACUUGAGCAAAAUCAAAAUCAAGUAAGAAUUAACACAAUUAACCACCAUAAUCAUGCUUAGGAAUAUAAAAAACGUAAUAUAUCUCCAUAUUGACAUCAUAUUUCAACUCUAGUAUGAAAUCCCCAAUUUUUCAAAAACCCUAGAAUUCAAAACAUAAUUUUCUUCAAGUUAAAAAUCACAAAUAAAUAGAGAAUCAAAGAAUUCACAUUUUUCUUUCAAAUAUUGCAGCUACUCCUUAAAAUUUCUCUACAACUCGAACUUAAAAGAAGAAAAUGGUGGUUCUAUGCUUUUAGGGAAAACUCUCAACAGUUUCAGCUAGAAGAAGGGAAUGAAUUUCCCUUAAAUAUAUACGUUUAGCCUCUUUCUAGGGAAUUGUAAGAAUUUCUUUUUAAAGAUAUUUAAUACUCCUACAAGAUAAAAUUUAGAAUCCAAUUGGG
rnacentral:lncRNA from 1 species